rfam:Neotoma lepida isolate 417 scaffold_21316, whole genome shotgun sequence.
ACCCAGCUAGCUCAGUCAGUAGAACAUGAGACUCUUAAUCUCAGGGUCAUGGGUUUGUGCCCCAUAAUGGGUA